UACAGAGGGUGCAAACGUUGCUCGGAAUCAUUGGGCGUAAAGGGCGUGUAGGCGGUCAAGUAAGUGGGAUGUGAAAUCCCUCGGCUCACCCGAGGACCUGCAUCCCAAACUGCUUGGCUUGAGUAUGGGAGAGGAUGAGGGGAUUCCUGGUGUAGCGGUGAAAUGCGUAGAUAUCAGGAGGAACACCCAUUGCGAAGGCAGCUCGCUGGGACGUUACUGACGCUGAGACGCGAAAGCGUGGGGAGCAAACAGG
rnacentral:rRNA from 1 species